UACGAAGGGGGCUAGCGUUGCUCGGAAUCACUGGGCGUAAAGCGCACGGUAGGCGGAUUUGUAAGUCAGGGGUGAAAUCCCGGGGACUCAACCUCGGAACUGCCUUUGAUACUGCAAAUCUCGAGUCCGGAAGAGGUGAGUGGAAUUCCUAGUGUAGAGGUGAAAUUCGUAGAUAUUAGGAAGAACACCAGUGGCGAAGGCGGACUCACUGGUCCGGUACUGGACGCUGAGGUGCGAAAGCGUGGGGAGCAAACAGGG
rnacentral:rRNA from 1 species